rnacentral:lncRNA from 1 species
UAUCCCAAGGUACAACACAGUCAUAGAAUUCGAAAAGUACAUUGAACGCUUCCGCUUUGGAAAUCCACACAGUCGAGA